rnacentral:rRNA from 1 species
AUUGAACGCUGGCGGCAGGCUUAACACAUGCAAGUCGAGCGGGGGAAGGUAGCUUGCUACCGGACCUAGCGGCGGACGGGUGAGUAAUGCUUAGGAAUCUGCCUAUUAGUGGGGGACAACAUCUCGAAAGGGAUGCUAAUACCGCAUACGUCCUACGGGAGAAAGCAGGGGAUCUUCGGACCUUGCGCUAAGAGAUGAGCCUAAGUCGGAUUAGCUAGUUGGUGGGGUAAAGGCCUACCAAGGUGCCGAUCUGUAGCGGGUCUGAGAGGAUGAGCCGCCACACUGGGACUGAGACACGGCCCAGACUCCUACGGGAGGUAGCAGUGGGGAAUAUUGGACAGUGGGGGGAACCCUGAUCCAGCCAUGCCGCGUGUGUGAAGAAGGCCUUAUGGUUGUAAAGCACUUUAAGCGAGGAGGAGGCUACUCUAGUUAAUACCUAGGGAUAGUGGACGUUACUCGCAGAAUAAGCACCGGCUAACUCUGUGCCAGCCGCCGCGGUAA